rnacentral:lncRNA from 1 species
CAUGGCUCAUACAAAGCAGACUGCCCUGCCAGCAAAUCCACCAGUGGUAAAACACCCAGGAAACAGCUAGCUACAAAAGUUGCUAGCAAGAGUGUGCUCUCUUCUGGAGGGAUGAAGAAACCUUAUUAUUACAGGCCUGGCACUGUGGCAGUCUUUGAAAUCAGGUGCUAUCAGAAGUCCACUGAAGGUGAGCAGUGGAGACAGAGGCAGGCAGAUUUCUGAAUUUGAGGCCAUCCUGUUCUAUAGCGUGAGUUCCAGGACAGCUAAAGUAACCCUGUCUCUAAAAACCAAAAAACUAAAAAACCAAAAAACUAAAAACAAACAAACAAACAAACAAACAACAACAACAACAACAACAACAAACAUAUCUCUGCUUCCAGGGUGCAGCUAUUGGUGCUUUGCAGGAGAUAAGUGAGGCCUAUCUGGUUGGCGUUUUUGAAGAUACCAACCUGUGUGCCAAAUUUAUAACAAUUAUGUCAAAAGGUAUCCAGCUAACACAUCGCAUAUGUGGAGAAUGUGCUUAA